GAAUAUUGGACAAUGGGCGAAAGCCUGAUCCAGCAAUGCCGCGUGAGUGAUGAAGGCCUUAGGGUUGUAAAGCUCUUUUACCAGGGAUGAUAAUGACAGUACCUGGAGAAUAAGCUCCGGCUAACUCCGUGCCAGCAGCCGCGGUAAUACAGAGGGUGCGAGCGUUAAUCGGAAUUACUGGGCGUAAAGCGCACGUAGGCGGCUUGGUAUGUCGGGUGUGAAAUCCCCGGGCUCAACCUGGGAACUGCAUCCGAAACUGCCUUGCUCGAGUAUGGGAGAGGGAAGUGGAAUUUCCGGUGUAGCGGUGAAAUGCGUAGAUAUCGGAAGGAACAUCAGUGGCGAAGGCGACUUCCUGGACCAAUACUGACGCUCAGGUGCGAAAGCGUGGGGAGCAAACAGG
rnacentral:rRNA from 1 species